UAAGUUCCGACCUGCACGAAUGGCGUAAUGAUGGCCAGGCUGUCUCCACCCGAGACUCAGUGAAAUUGAACUCGCUGUGAAGAUGCAGUGUACCCGCGGCAAGACGGAAAGACCCCGUGAACCUUUACUAUAGCUUGACACUGAACAUUGAGCCUUGAUGUGUAGGAUAGGUGGGAGGCUUUGAAGUGUGGACGCCAGUCUGCAUGGAGCCGACCUUGAAAUACCACCCUUUAAUGUUUGAUGUUCUAACGUGGACCCGUAAUCCGGGUUGCGGACAGUGUCUGGUGGGUAGUUUGACUGGGGCGGUCUCCUCCUAAAGAGUAACGGAGGAGCACGAAGGUUGGCUAAUCCUGGUCGGACAUCAGGAGGUUAGUGCAAUGGCAUAAGCCAGCUUGACUGCGAGCGUGACGGCGCGAGCAGGUGCGAAAGCAGGUCAUAGUGAUCCGGUGGUUCUGAAUGGAAGGGCCAUCGCUCAACGGAUAAAAGGUACUCCGGGGAUAACAGGCUGAUACCGCCCAAGAGUUCAUAUCGACGGCGGUGUUUGGCACCUCGAUGUCGGCUCAUCACAUCCUGGGGCUGAAGUAGGUCCCAAGGGUAUGGCUGUUCGCCAUUUAAAGUGGUACGCGAGCUGGGUUUAGAACGUCGUGAGACAGUUCGGUCCCUA
rnacentral:rRNA from 1 species